rnacentral:rRNA from 1 species
UACGAAGGGUGCAAGCGUUACUCGGAAUUACUGGGCGUAAAGCGUGCGUAGGCGGUUUGUUAAGUCUGUCGUGAAAGCCCCUGGCUCAACUGGGGAAGUGCACCCGAAACUGGAUAGCUUGAGUGCGAAAGAGGGUCGCGGAAUUCCCGGUGUAGAGGUGAAAUUCGUAGAUAUCGGGAGGAACACCGGUGGCGAAGGCGGCGACCUGGGUCGACACUGACGCUGAGGCGCGAAAGCGUGGGGAGCAAACAGG